GUCUCUCUGAGGCGAUCUCGCGUCCCCGCCGAGCCUCCCUCCAGCUCGAUCCCGAUUCCCGAUCCCCAAUUCCGAUCCCGAUCCCGGUUCCCGCGGCCACGGAGCGGCAGCAGGAGCUGAAGGAAUGGUUUUUACAUCAUGGAAAACUGGGGUGGGUACAAGUGCAUGUAACCAAAUGGGACCCUUGGAAAAGGAUGAGUCUGUGCAGAGCUGUUCCUGCCUGCAGUGUUUGAGCUGAUCAGUGGUUCCAGGGGUCUGUGGUGUGAACAGGUGAACGAUCUCCUUUCGCUGCUGGCCUGUGGGAAAUGGAUUUGUAGAGAGUUUUAGGGCCUGACAGAAGGCCUCAAAAUUCCCUCAAAAAUUCAAGAUGGCCCAUGUAGCAUUGGACAGCUCACUGAGACAGGACCUAGUGCUAAAAAAAGCCAUCAAGAGAAAACAUAGAGCAAAAAGAUUUGCCCAUCUUUAUAAAGAAAACUGGAAUAGCAAUUUCAAAUCUGGGGACUCAUCAAAACAAGUCACAUGAGCUUUAUUUCUCCCUCAACUCACCUCAGGUGAGGCAUGGAAAUAAUUCUACCGAGUGGGGCGUUAGAUGAGUAAGGAUGCCAAUGCUACUUCCAUUGUAAUUAGUGACAGGAUGACAGAUGUCAGUGCUGUCAGACAUGAAAUCUUACAGAACAGAGCUGCCAUCGAUUUUCUUUCACUGGCAUGUGGGCGUGUUGUGAGGAUUUUGAAAGAUUGUGUUGUAUAAACUUAUCUGACCACUCAGUGUCCAUCCACAACCAACUUCAAAAAUGGAGAGAUUGAACAAAUCCAAUUAAAACAAAGGAUGGAUCAUGGUUAGACGACUUGUUUGAAGGAUGGGGUUUUGUCCCUUGUCUAAAAGAGCUUUGCAAAAUAGGUUUUUAUGCAUGGAUUGUUAUAGUGGCAAUGUUAGUGAUAGUGCCUUGUGCACUUCACUGUGCACGGUGAAUAAUUAACAAAACCAUCCAAGAAGUUCUUUCUGUUCAAGACAGAGAGGGAAAUGUGGGAAACGGUUUUCUAGAGAGUUCUCAGGGCCUGCCAGAAGGCUCACACUGUGUGCAUCUGUGUGCAAACAUGGAGAUAAGAAAUGCUGACUUAGAAAUGCUAUGGAAUAGGAGAGGUAUUGUUGAGAGAGAAUUGGACCUAGAAAGAAGUUUCAAAGGAUGGCAUUGCAAAUCAGACUGGAUACUUUGGAGAAAUAGAAUUAUGAAAGAUGCAUUGUCAUGGAACCCACAAGGGGUGAUUUCAGAUGAUUGUCUUUAAGGCAUUUGACAGUAGGAUGUGACAAAAGCUGGUAGGCCAAUAAACUUCUCAUGAAUUGUAAUUAGGAAAUAGUUGGUUUCUGAUAGUGAUGGUGUGAAUGAUAAUAUCUGUCAUGUGGCUGGACAGUGCCCAGGCAGAAAGGGACCUGGGGGCACUGAAGGACAGCAGCUGGACAUGAGCCAGCAGUGUGCCCUGGUGGCCAAGAAGGCCAAUGGCCCCUGGCCUGGAUCAGGAAUGGUGUGGCCAGCAGGAGCAGGGAGGUCAUUCUUGCCCUGGACUCAGCACUGGUGAGCUCAUAUCUUGAGUGCUGUGUCCAGUUCUGGCCCCUCAGUUUAGGAAGGACGUUGAGACGCUCGAGCGCGUCCAGAGGAGGCAACGAGGCUGGUGAGGGGCUUGGAACACAAACCCUGUGAGGAACGGCUGAGGGAGCUGGGGUUGUUGAGCCUCUACAGCUCUCUGAAAGGUGGCUGUAGCCAGGUGGGGUUGCUCUCUUUUUCCAGUCAGCAACUGACAGAACCAUAGAACACCGUCUCAAGCUGCAUCAAGUGAAAAUUAGGUUUGGAAUUAGAAAAAAGUUUUACACGGGAAGAGUGAUCAAGUACUGGAAUGGUCGGCCCAGGGAGAUGUUGGAGUCACCAUGCUUGGAUGUGUUUAAAAAAGUCUAGAUGUGGCACUUGGUGCCAUGGUCUAGUUGAGGUCUUAGGGCAGGGGUUGGACUCGAUGAUCUUGAAGGUCUUUUCCAACCUGGUGAUUCUGUGAGUACUCCUUCAAAUCCCAAAAAAACCCAUAUCCCAAAGAAACCCCGGCAAAAAAAAGGCAAAAUUACGCAGGUGGGAAAAUAUCGGGAUGAUGGGAGAGCACCAAAAUGAGGGAGAAAAUACCACAGUGAUCAGGGAAACACCAAAAUGAGGAUGAAAACAGAGAAAUGAGGUGGAAAACGACCAAAAACAAGGUAAAUAACCUCACAUAGAUUAAGUCCUGAAAUACGAAAAUUCGAUGGAAAAUGAUUUGGAUGAGGUGGUAAAACAUGAAAAUUAGGGGGAAAACCAUAAGCGGACAACCAGAGGGAUAAAAAGAAAAAUAUCAAAAUUAUGUAGAAAUCUGGCAGGUGAAGGCCCAAGAUACCAAAAUGAACUGGAAAAAGUGAUGAAGAAAAAAACCCCAAAAUUAGGUGGAAAAACAUCAGAAUGAGAGAGAACAUAAUGGGAAAAGGCAAAAAAACACAAAAGGCAAACCCAAAAUGAGGUGGAAAAAACUUGGAAUGAGGAGAACACCACCCGAAUGAGGGUAAAAAUAAUGGGAGAUGGCAAAAAAAAAUACCCAAAUGGGGUGGAAAACAACCGUAAUGAUGAGAAAAAACACCAGAAUAAGGGAGGAAAAUAAUGGGAUGAUUACUAAAACAAAAAAAUUAUGUGGAAACCUACAGAAUGAGGCUCGCAAUACCAGAAAUGAGUUGGAAAAACACCUAUGAGGGGGGAAAUACUGGGAUAACAUAAAAGAAUAAACCCAAAAUGAGGUGAAAACCAACCAAAAUAAAGGGGGAAAACACCAGAGCGAGGGGAAAAAGAAUGGGAUGAGGAAAAAAUCCCAAAAUGAGCUGGAAAAACACCAAAAUGAGGCGGAAAACAGUGAUAUGAGGUAGGAAAACACUGGGAUCAGGGGAAAAUAGAAAAAUGAGGCUGAAAACACUGGGAAAAGGUGAAAAAACACCAGGAUGAGGCAAAACCUGCCAAAAUGAGGUAGGAAAAUAAUGCCAGCCAUGGGUUUAUGCACAGAGUCACAAACGGGACGGGACUGCUGUGGAACGCGUCUCGAGCUGCUUUAUUAUUUGUUUUUCUUACCCAACCAUCAGACUCAUUACAUGGAUGGGACAGAGGGAAGAUGCCAGCAGCUCAUGUCCUUGGCAACAGCCAGAGAAUGUGAUGUUACAAGGAACUUUGAAAGUUUUUUGACCAAGCACCAAAGCAAAAGCAUAUUGACAGUAGUUCUAUCCAACCACUGUAAGUACAUGUACCUUUGGUUAAAUCAAUGCUUGCUUCUUUCAAAUACAAUACCUGAUGUAAGCUUUAAAAUACAAUGCACUGAGCUCCAUUAUUAAGCUUAGAUCUUCCUAAUAUCUUGCUAGAUAUCUUUUCUGCAGCUUAGAGAGUUAUUCUAGCCAAGAGUUAAUUCACAGACCAUUGUUCUAUUUGUAUUUGCUUUCUGCAUCUCAUAGAACUUUUCUGCUGACAUGCCUUAUGCUUUCAGCUUAGCUCUAAUUGCAGUUCUGUUGUCUCUGAGGCUUUUUUGCAGCUUUCCCAAAACCCUCUGAUUUUAAGGAUUCCCACAGGAAAACAGAGCUAAAAAGUGAAAAAAACUCAGAAUGAGGUGGAAAACCACCAUGAUUAGGUGGGAAAACUCCAAAAUAAGGUGGCAAUGAAGGAAAACCUGGAAGAUUCAUGGAUCGGUAUCAGGAUUGGGAAAGAUCUCUCUGUAAAUCCUGUCUAGGCGCUACUGACUCAGGAUCUGGGAUAGGAUGAGUUUCUUCCCAACAGGAUCAGAGCAGCAUAAAAAGACCUCAAAUCCAACUUUUCCCACCCUCAAUUCACUCUUUCUCAGCUUUCCCUUAAUCCCUCCAGCAGCACUGGGAGCUGGGACCAUCCCAGGGGAGUUUUCCAUGGAUUUCUCUGUGAAUCCAUCCCAAAAUCAGUUUUUCAAGGCAUUUUGUAUUGCAAAUCCCUUUCAUGGCAAGAGUUUUCCAUGGAUUUCUCCAGUGUGUCAUUCCCAUGGAAGACAACUCCUCAUGGUCUUUUCCAAGGGAUCAAUCCGUCAGGAAUAUCCUGCUCCAGAGGUUUUUUCCACCAUGGGAUUCGUGCCAGGAAUCUACUCCUUUUUCCAUGGAUCCGCAGAUCCCUCCUAAUAUCGAGCUCCAGGAUGAGCUUCCCUUUGGAUGCACCAAGGAAUUUUGGGUAUUUCCACUCCAGCACUUUGGAAUUGUCUCCGGAAUUGCUCCUUUCCCAAAUUCCUGUUCCUGAAUUCCAGCUGUGCAAUGACUGGUUGCUUCUGACUCAAUUCUUAUUCCAGAGGUAUUGCCGCUGUUCCCAAAGGGAUCAGCUAGACACAGGAGACUCUUCUGGCAGCUUCCCGUGGAAUCCAACCUUGGAGUCUCCUGGAAUUUGGCCUUACAAAGCCAAUCCUGGUAGAAAAAACACCAGGAUUGGAUGGAAAAAUGAUGACAUGGGAUUGAGAAAUACUGGGAUGAGGCAGAAAAAAACAAGGAGAAGCUGAAAAAAUGCCAGGAGAAAUAAUGAAAUUGGGGUAAAAAUACUGUGAAAGGCAGAAAAAUGCUGGGAUGAGGGGGAAAAUAUUGAGAUGAAGGAAAAACUCUCGAGAUGGGGAGGAAAAACCUCAAAAAAAAAAAAAACAACCAGAAAACUAGAAAACCAG